GUAGAAGGAUCAUCGCAUUUCAGGAGAACGAGGUAAUAGAGCGGAUAAAAGGAAAAUGCUUCUUCCAAAGACAUUCCUCCUUCUCUAUCUGCUUCUCCUUUCCACUUCAUUCAUUCCAAAUGGGACAACAGCUAGGGAGCUUGUUAAACCAACAACUGGUGGCCAGACGCCUGUGGAUGCCGCGCGCCCCUUUGCAUAUCGUGCCCUGUCACCAAGGUCUGCCGUGCCAUCAACUGGGCCUGGCCUUCCAUAUACUCGCAGGUGCAAGUAUUACCGUUGUCGACCCCCGGUCCCAUAGCUUUAGAGUAAAAUAGUAGGUGUACUACUGGUAAUGGCUGCAGCGGGUGCUACAUCCUCGCAUAUACUUCCUUCAAAUUGGCAUAUGAACUAAAUAAGCAGUCGUAUCAUGAUGCCAUGUUCGCUUUGUUGUACGUGUAAUGUGUACCUAAUGGUAGUUGGGAAUUUUAAAGCUGCCGCGUUGUUUCUGUUGCUGUUAUAUUGAGUUACGGGCUCUCUCUUAUCUACUUCUUUUUCA